rnacentral:rRNA from 1 species
CCUACGGGCGGCAGCAGUGAGGAAUAUUGGUCAAUGGCCGGAAGGCUGAACCAGCCAUGCCGCGUGAAGGUCAGUGCCCUAUGGGCGUUAAACUUCUUUUGUGCGGGAGCAAUAAUGGUCACGUGUGGCCAGACGAGAGUACCGUACGAAUAAGCAUCGGCUAACUCCGUGCCAGGAGCCGCGGUAAUACGGGGGAGGCAAGCGUUAUCCGGAUUUAUUGGGUGUAAAGGGUGCGUAGGCUGUGAAGUAAGUCAGCGGUGAAAUGCCCCCGCUCAAAGGGGUGAAGUGCCAUUGAUACUGGCUUGAUGGAAUGCGGAUGCCGUGGGAGGAAUGUGUGGUGUAGCGGUGAAAUGCAUAGAUAUCACACAGAACACCGAUUGCGAAGGCAUCUCACGAAUCCGCGAUUGACGCUGAUGCACGAAAGCGUGGGUAUCAAACAGGAUUAGAUACCCGAGUAGUC